GCAAANCAUCGGGGAUCCACCUCUAACCAUUCCGAACAGAGCAGUUAAGCCCGAUCACGCCGAUGGUACUAUGCAAAUGGGAGAGUAGGUAGCC
rnacentral:rRNA from 1 species